GGAUCUAAAGAGGGGUCAAAGUAGGCUUAGAGGGGCAACGCUGUGGGCAGCUCAUUGCUAUUGCCAUUUGGCAGGUCCCAGCAUGGAAGGGGUGAGCUCCAUAAAACUCAGUAAGAGAAAUAGCAUUAAAAUUAUACUGUUAAGACUUAAAAAGUUAUUACCCUUAAGUGAACAUGCUUACCCAAUAAAUAACAUACCUUGGAGG
rnacentral:lncRNA from 1 species